ACAGCUUUCUGAAUUGAAGAACAAAGGUUAAUGACGCAGGUAAUUGUUUGGCUGACAAAGCCGUGACGAGCGAGCCGCGCAGUGUACUGAAGUACAUGAGCAGCGUAGCGAGGAAACAAUACCGUCAGACGGACAAUUAACCAGUAAGAAUAUGUCUGGUGACAAUAGCAUUGUGGUCCCACCUGAUCCCAUCCCGAACUCAGAAGUGAAACGCAAUCGCGCCGAUGGUAGUGUGGGGUCUCCCCAUGUGAGAGUAGGUCAUCGCCAGAC
rnacentral:rRNA from 1 species